rnacentral:rRNA from 1 species
AGGGGGCGGCUACACAUGCAGUCGAGCGGAUGAGAGGAGCUUGCUCCUCGAUUCAGCGGCGGACGGGUGAGUAAUGCCUAGGAAUCUGCCUAGUAGUGGGGGACAACGUUUCGAAAGGAACGCUAAUACCGCAUACGUCCUACGGGAGAAAGUGGGGGAUCUUCGGACCUCACGCUAUUAGAUGAGCCUAGGUCGGAUUAGCUAGUUGGUAGGGUAAAGGCCUACCAAGGCGACGAUCCGUAACUGGUCUGAGAGGAUGAUCAG